GACUGCAAAUGUAAAUAUAGAUCGAGGAUAUAUAUGUUUUAUGUAUAGACUACAAAGUAGUUUAGAGAAAUAUAUAAAUUUACAUGUACAUACAUAUAGCGGUGUCAAAGGUUCCAGACAUGUAGCAGUUCAAAAGGUAAUGAGAAUUUCUCAUGCCAAUGCAUCAAAGUUGCUGUCCCUCCCUAAAAAAAAGUUGUAGUCCCAAGUACAGUGCGACCAGUUUACAACUAAUCCUGUCACGCCACCAUUAUCUUAAUUGCAAGACAAUAGGCAGUAAGCUGCAUACGUAGAGUUGGCUGUGGCUGGUAUGAUUCACUAACUCUGCUGACCAGUCACCUUUCAUUUAGGAUGUUUACUCCACCACUGGUAAACCCUCCACUAUCAUCUCUGUUUUCAAAAGACUGGCUCUAAAGAACAAAAGAAAUGAUAGAUGAACAAAUUAGUUUCAAUGCAGUAUAGAAAGUUUGAAGUGUAGCUACAAAAUCUAUCGCUUACAUGUAUUGGCAACAUCUUGGUUAGCAGAGGACCUGGUAGCACUCAUUUUUUCAAUCUGCGUAGCAGGGGCACAUCAAUUAAUAAGUUGAACUACCAAAAACAAAGUAAAAAAUAGAAGAAAAUGAGACAUUCAUUUACAGAGCCUCAUAGUUUCUGCGUAGCAUUCCAAGCUGUAUCACAUAAUAAGGCACAUUCCACACUAUAGUAUCACAUAAGGAACGUUGUUAUACACUGAAAAUGAUCAUAGUAUCAAUAGGAAAAAUGCUUUGUAAAUUAUCCUUAAUGCUAUAUAAUUUAAUAAGGCACAUUUCAUAUCACAGUAUCACAUUAUGGAGCAUAAAUGGCAGGAGGCUAACUUACAUCAGUGAUUGCACGAGCUAGCUUUGCAUAUUGAAUGUAAGCUAGCAUAGCUAAAGAAGCACACAUCUAAUAACAUUGGCAUAAAUAAGAAAAAUCUUUGCAAUAAAAUAGUACAAUGAGUGUUCCAACAUAGUACAGAUAUGACACUGGCGAAUAAGCAAAAUGUUUCUAGCAAAAUGCUAGAAUCUGUGGUCCAGCAUAGUUUAGAACUUUAAAAGUUACUUGCUCUUCUUUUUAGUAAAAUGCAGGUACUACCAAUGGAUUCAUCAUAUCUCACAUAAAAGAUAAGUGUGGAUAUAGCCAACUUUACCUCUAUGCAUGGGCAUGUUCAAAUUGGUUCAAAUUUUUUCAUGUUUCCAUAAAAUAAACAAAUAAAUGAUUUGAAGCCUAUCAUCAUUCUAUGAGUGGAUAAUGGUUCAGGAAACAACGCAAAUUAAUGGAAAGAUCAUUACCUGCAGGAGUACAGGGUAGGAGCAAAAAAAUGAUUUUAGCAUUAGCCGUCACACAUGCACUCCUGCAACAGAUAUAGACUGAUCUGGUUAAAUUAGAUCUGCUAGCAUCACAUGAAAAGCAAUUGAAAGAAGCAUAUCAUUUCUUAAUCCCAAAGUAAUGUCAGCUAAGAUCAUAGACCUCUGGUUCAUCCAUCUGAACUCAAACUGAGAGCAGGAAUAGACAUCAGAGCAAAAAAAAGUACAUAAGAACAUGGCCCUUCACACCUAAAUGCCUGAAUUCUUAGGCACAUACAUUAGAUCAUCCAUGAAGUAAAAUUAGAACCAACAUGUAAAUGUGAUUAAUGGAGAGAAGCACACACCUUUCGCUUGAGGAUUAUCACUCUGCUAAUGGGAAAUCCUGUACGACCAUUCUAUUUUCAAAGGAUGGAAAUGGAACCCGAUUCUACUUUAGCGCCAAGCUACAAAAAGGUAGUGAUAGAGAUCAAUCAAGAAGGGUGUGUGGCAAGUCAAGUUGAAGACAUUCAGUCAUGAUAGUCUGAUAACAAGGUGAUGAAAAUCAUUCUAGACUAAAUAAGAAUUAGGCACCUUCAAUAACACAUGAGACAACCAAGGUAAUAAGCAUUAUGUAUAAACCUUUCACAUGGAUUAACAUGGUAGCUGCAAUCCUAUACUCGGUGAUGGGACCUAAACAAAGUCCUAACUAAC
rnacentral:lncRNA from 1 species